rnacentral:rRNA from 1 species
ACGCUCGACACCUACGGGGGGCAGCAGUGGGGAAUAUUGCACAAUGGGGGAAACCCUGAUGCAGCGACGCCGCGUGGAGGAAGAAGGUCUUCGGAUUGUAAACUCCUGUUGUUGGGGAAAAAGAGGAUGGUACCCAACAAGGAAGUGACGGCUAACUACGUGACAGCAGCCGCGGUAAUCUGAGCGGGCUGGCAAGGC